rnacentral:lncRNA from 1 species
GGUCUCAGUAGGUUAGCAGUGACGGUCUCAGUAGGUUAGCAGUGACGGUCUCAGUAGGUUAGCAGUGACGGUCUCAGUAGGUUAGCAGUGACGGUCUCAGUAGGUUAGCAGUGACGGUCUAAGUAGGUUAGCAGUGAUGGUCUCAGUAGGUUAUCAGUGACGGUCUCAGUGGGUUAUCAGUGACGGUCUCAGUGGGUUAUCAGUGACGGUCUCAGUAGGUUAUCAGUGACGGUCUCAGUAGGUUAGCAGUGACGGUCUCAGUAGGUUAGCAGUGAUGGUCUCAGUAGGUUAGCAGUGACGGUCUCAGUAGGUUAUCAGUGACGGUCUCAGUAGGUUAGCAGUGAUGGUCUCAGUAGGUUAGCAGUGAUGGUCUCAGUAGCUUAGCAGUGAUGGGCUCAGUAGGUUAUCAGUGAUGGUCUCUCUCUCACACUCACCAGGCCGUCACAAGUGCUUAUAGCCGCCCUCCCCUUCAUAGUCGCCCGGUCCCACACGUCCCCGAUAAAGUGACACAGCGAGGGGCCAUGGCUGCGUAUUUUGGCCCCCUCCAGGCCACCGUACCUCCUCUCAGUCAGGAAGCCAGGAGCCAGUAGGUGUGGGUUGAGGGUGAGGUUGAAGUGCAGAUUGUGGCCACCGUGCUGCAACUGGUAGAACACCCGUGUAGGGUUUCCUGGUUCCCCCUGGGUUUCCCGCCGCUGUACCCGGCUGACGCGGUGGGACACAAAGUUGGACAGGAAGUGACCUUUGGCGUCCACUCGGUAGGGGUGAACGACCUCGUACUGCGGAAGCCCCUGUAGAAAGCUCUC